rfam:Bacillus bataviensis LMG 21833 contig39, whole genome shotgun sequence.
UGACCACUUCCUUGCGGGAGUUAAGGCCAUACGGACAGCCGGGUCAAAUGCCGA